UACGUAGGGGGCGAGCGUUGUCCGGAGUUACUGGGCGUAAAGGGCAUGCAGGCGGUCGGACGCGUUUCGGGUGACAGCGGGUGGCUUAACUACCCGAGUGGUCGAAAGACGGUUUGACUUGAGGACGCGAGAGGGACACGGAAUUCCGGGUGGAGUGGUGAAAUGCGUAGAGAUCCGGAGGAACACCGAAGGCGAAGGCAGUGUCCUGGGGAGUGUCUGACGCUCAGGCGCGAAAGCUAGGGGAGCGAACAGG
rnacentral:rRNA from 1 species